rnacentral:rRNA from 1 species
UACGUAGGGGGCAAGCGUUGUCCGGAAUUAUUGGGCGUAAAGAGCGUGUAGGCGGUCCGGUAAGUCAGCUGUGAAAGUCAAGGGCUCAACCCUUGAAAGCCGGUUGAUACUGUCGGGCUAGAGUCCGGAAGAGGCGAGUGGAAUUCCCGGUGUAGCGGUGAAAUGCGUAGAUAUCUGGAGGAACACCGGUGGCGAAGGCGGCAUCCUGGACCGACACUGACGCUGAGGAGCGAAAGCCAGGGGAGCAAACGGG